GACGAACGCUGGCGGCGUGCUUAACACAUGCAAGUCGAGCGGAGAGGCCCUUUUGGGGGUACUCGAGCGGCGAACGGGUGAGUAACACGUGAGUAAUCUGCCCUUCACUCUGGGAUAACUGCCUGAAAGGGUGGCUAAUACUGGAUGCGACCAACUGCUGCAUGGUGUGUUGGUGGAAAGCGUUUAGUGGUGGGGGAUGUGCUCGCGGCCUAUCAGCUUGNGGUGGGGUAAUGGCCUACCAAGGCUUUGACGGGUAGCCGGCCUGAGAGGGUGACCGGCCACACUGGGACUGAGACACUGCCCAGACUCCUACGGGAGGCUGCAGUCGAGAAUCUUCGGCAAUGGGCGCAAGCCUGACCGAGCGACGCCGCGUGGAGGAUGAAGGCCU
rnacentral:rRNA from 1 species